CCUACGGGUGGCAGCAGUGAGGAAUAUUGGUCAAUGGGCGCGAGCCUGAACCAGCCAAGUAGCGUGAAGGAUGACUGCCCUACGGGUUGUAAACUUCUUUUAUAAAGGAAUAAAGUGGGGCACGUGUGCCUUCUUGUAUGGACUUUAUGAAUAAGGAUCGGCUAACUCCGUGCCAGCAGCCGCGGUAAAACGGGGGAUCCGAGCGUUAUCCGGAUUUAUUGGGUUUAAAGGGAGCGUAGAUGGGUUGUUAAGUCAGGUGUGAAAGUUUGCGGCUCAAACGUAAAAUUGCCAUUGAUACUGGCAGUCUUGAGUAGAGUUGAGGUAGGCGGAAUUCGUGGUGUAGCGGUGAAAUGCUUAGAUAUCACGAAGAACCCCGAUUGCGAAGGCAGCUUACUAAACUGUGACUGACAUUGAUGCUCGAAAGUGUGGGUAUCAAACAGGAUUAGAUACCCCAGUAGUC
rnacentral:rRNA from 1 species